AAUUUAUUACAUGACUUAAAACUGACAAAUUGCUAGCUACUACCAGCUAAAUUAUUCUCAUAAAUUCUAAAUAAAUACUUAUGUUCAUAAUUACAGCAUCAGCUUCGUACCUAGUAGCUGUAGAAAAAUUCUAGAACCCAAUAGCUGCGUCACAGUAAUAUUACAUUUCUCCUGGAAGCAUAGUGUCUUCUGGUAGAUCACAGAAAGCUAUACCCUCUCCGGUAAGGUGGGCCACACAUCUUUUCUCAGCUAGCAACUCACCUUCUGUCUUAGUGAUUUUCUUUAGAAGGUAGUCAUCAAAUAUUACAUCUUUGACAAUUUCAUAAUCACCAUCUCCUUUUGAUCUGCAAGGCAUGCUGAAAACUAGACCCUCUGCAAUGCCAUAAAGAUUUCCAUUAGUAUAGACUCCAGAAGAAAACCAAUCACCCUCAGGGGUGGGGAUUAUUAGAGACUUUAUAGUAGCAUCAACAAUGGACACAGCAGUUGAUGCAGCGGAAGAUCGUCCCCAUUUCUGAAUAAGCACUCCACCUCUCUUCUGGACUAUCUCAGUGAACUCCUCUUCUAACCACUUGUGAUCUUUGAUAACCUCUUUUACAGGUAAACCAUUGAUUCUAGCAUUUAGAAAGUCUGGAACCUGAGUGGUUGAGUGAUUUCCCCAGAUGGUCACAUUUGACACUUUAUCAUAGAACACACCUGCUUUUAGGGCAAGCUGGCAUUUUGCCCUGUUCUCAUCUAACCUAGUCAAAGCAUGGAAAUUCUUUGCAGGUAUAUUUGGAGCAUUUUUCAAACAAAUUAAAGCAUUGGUGUUACAAGGGUUACCCACUACUAUCACCUUGACAUUGCGAGAUGCAACAGCAUUGAGAGCCUUUCCCUGCUCAGCAUAAAUCUGCCCGUUGAUAUCUAGUAAGCCGGCUCGUUCCAUGCCAGGCCCUCGUGGCUUUGCUCCAAUCAACAAAGCCCAUUCAAUGUCUUCAAACACUUCAUAAGGAUUUAUUCCAAUGCUCACCUCCCUCAACAAAGGAUACAACGAAUCCUCAAGUUCCAUUGCAACUCCUUCAAGAGCUUGAAAUGAUCUUUCAGAUCCCAACAGUUUUAAUGCGAUUGGUUGAUCUGGCCCAAAAACCUCGCCAGAUGCAAGUUUAAAAAGUAGAUGAUUAGAUAUCAUCCCAGCAGCACCAGAAACUGCUAUAUUAAUUAGUUUCUUCCAUGAUUUUGUCUCCUCUUCAGCCCUGAGAUCAUAUGUUUGGCAGAAAACACCAAAGCAUUCAGACUUGUCCUUGGGCUUUUGGGUCUGGACUGGAACUGGGGCUUGAACUUGAUUUAUAGAGCAAGCGAUAGUACUGUUUCGAGGUCUAAAGGAGCGGCGAAAGCGAAGAGAGAGAUGGGUGGAAGAAAGUG
rnacentral:misc_RNA from 1 species